rnacentral:rRNA from 1 species
AUCUACCUUGUACGGGGGAAUAGCCCAGAGAAAUUUGGAUUAAUGCCCCAUAGUAUAGUUGAAUGGCAUCAUUUGAUUAUUAAAGUUCAGGCGGUACAAGAUGAGCAUGCGUCCCAUUAGCUAGUUGGUAUGGUAACGGCAUACCAAGGCAAUGAUGGGUAGGGGUCCUGAGAGGGAGAUCCCCCACACUGGUACUGAGACACGGACCAGACUCCUACGGGAGGCAGCAGUGAGGAAUAUUGGGCAAUGGACGCUAGUCUGACCCAGCCAUGCCGCGUGCAGGAAGACGGUCCUAUGGAUUGUAAACUGCUUUUGUACGGGAAGAAACCCUACUACGCGUAGUAGAUUGACGGUACCGUACGAAUAAGGAUCGGCUAACUCCGUGCCAGCAGCCGCGGUAAUACGGAGGAUCCAAGCGUUAUCCGGAAUCAUUGGGUUUAAAGGGUCCGUAGGCGGUUUUAUAAGUCAGUGGUGAAAUCUGGUCGCUCAACGAUCAAACGGCCAUUGAUACUGUAGAACUUGAAUGAUUAGGAAGUAACUAGAAUAUGUAGUGUAGCGGUGAAAUGCUUAGAUAUUACAUGGAAUACCAAUUGCGAAGGCAGGUUACUACUAAUUGAUUGACGCUGAUGGACGAAAGCGUGGGUAGCGAACAGGAUUAGAUACCCUGGUAGUCCACGCCGUAAACGAUGGAUACUAGCUGUUGGGAGCAAUUUCAGUGGCUAAGCGAAAGUGAUAAGUAUCCCACCUGGGGAGUACGAACGCAAGUUUGAAACUCAAAGGAAUUGACGGGGGCCCGCACAAGCGGUGGAGCAUGUGGUUUAAUUCGAUGAUACGCGAGGAACCUUACCAAGGCUUAAAUGUAUUUUGACCGGUUUGGAAACAGACCUUUCGCAAGACAAAUUACAAGGUGCUGCAUGGUUGUCGUCAGCUCGUGCCGUGAGGUGUCAGGUUAAGUCCUUUAACGAGCGCAACCCCUGUUGUUAGUUGCCAGCGAGUAAGGUCGGGAACUCUAGCAAGACUGCCAGUGCAAACUGUGAGGAAGGUGGGGAUGACGUCAAAUCAUCACGGCCCUUACGCCUUGGGCUACACACGUGCUACAAUGGUAAGUACAGAGAGCAGCCACAACGCAAGUUGGAGCGAAUCUAUAAAGCUUAUCUCAGUUCGGAUCGGAGCCUGCAACUCGACUCCGUGAAGCUGGAAUCGCUAGUAAUCGGAUAUCAGCCAUGAUCCGGUGAAUACGUUCCCGGGCCUUGUACACACCGCCCGUCAAGCCAUGGAAGCUGGGGGUACCUGAAGUCGGUGACCGCAAGGAGCUGCCUAGGGUAAAACUGGUAACUGGGGCUAAGUCGUAACAAGGUAACC